GUUCAAAUCACUCUGGAAGAUGGGGGAGGAGGAAAUGAUGGGAUGACCAGCCAGAGGUGCAGCUUCCCAUCUUCUCCUGUGGUUAAUUUGCAGAUCUCAUCUCCAUGUACUGUACCGUUCCCUGCCUCUGCUUAUCAGAGAGGUCUCGGGAUCUACAUUUGUGGCCUCCACUGCUGGGACAGUCAUCUGAAGUCACCUUGGCCUUCAGCAUCUUUGUGAAGUUAGACAAGAGGAAUGACCUUUAAUGAGGUAUUGCUGGAUUAUACUUUCAAUUUUUAAGCCAAGGAGAAAUAACUGUGGGCAAUAUUUACUGAACAUUUGUUAUAUACUAGGUGCUGACCUCAGCAUUUUAAAUAUAUUGUCUCAUUUAAUUUUCAACUGACCCUGAGAAGUAGGUUCUGGUAUCUCUACCGUAUAG
rnacentral:lncRNA from 1 species